UACGUAGGGUGCAAGCGUUGUCCGGAAUUAUUGGGCGUAAAGAGCUCGUAGGCGGUCUGUCGCGUCUGCUGUGAAAACUCGGGGCUUAACCCCGGGCCUGCAGUGGGUACGGGCAGACUAGAGUGCGGUAGGGGAGACUGGAAUUCCUGGUGUAGCGGUGAAAUGCGCAGAUAUCAGGAGGAACACCAAUGGCGAAGGCAGCUCGCUGGAACGGUACUGACGCUGAGGCGCGAAAGCGUGGGGAGCAAACAGG
rnacentral:rRNA from 1 species